rnacentral:rRNA from 1 species
GACGAACGCUGGCGGCGUGCUUAACACAUGCAAGUCGAGCGAGGACAUUUAGCAAUAGAUGUUCGAGCGGCGGACGGGUGAGUAACGCGUGAGCAAUCUGUCCCAGACAGGGGAAUAACAGAUGGAAACAUCUGCUAAUACCGCAUAAGACCACGACCUGACAUCGGGUUGGGUAAAAGGUGAAAGCCGGUUUGGGGUGAGCUCGCGUCCGAUUAGCUAGUUGGCGGGUAACGCCCACCAAGGCGACGAUCGGUAGCCGACCUGAGAGGGUGAUCGGCCACACUGGAACUGAGAGACGGUCCAGACUCCUACGGGAGGCAGCAGUGGGGAAUAUUGGGCAAUGGGGGAAACCCUGACCCAGCAACGCCGCGUGAGGGAAGAAGGUUUUCGGAUUGUAAACCUCUGUCCUUGGUGAAGAACAAAUGACGGUAGCCAAGGAGGAAGCCCCGGCUAACUACGUGCCAGCAGCCGCGGUAAU